AGAAAUAUGAGAAUCGGAUGCAUAAUGCAAUUUUCAGAGGCAUCAUGGGGAUUCGUGAAAGUCCUUGGAAGAUUUGAGAUUCAGGAACUCAAUGAAUAAAUUUAACUAUCCAUAAGUGUGGAUUUUACACAAGACUUUGAGCAUCAUGAAGACAGGAACCAUAUGCUAUUCAUCGUCAUACCCUCAGCUCCUUGGCAAGGUAUCUGGAACACAGAGAGAACUCUAUAAAGAUUUGUCAAGCUGUACUGAACAACCCCAAGCGGAUGCAGAUUGGGUCACACCAAAUGUGACUGCUGAUUCAUGUGGUCAUUUGGCAAAUAUUGAUUGAGUGCCUAUGAUGUGCCAAGCACUAUUCUUAGCCAACGCUAAGCCAAAUACACAAAAAUAAUGAUAAAGUGAGUGCUUGUCAAUUAGGUACAACCCAGGUAUUUUACCAGGCUAGUUAAUUGGUGUGUUGAGUCAAUAUGAAGACUGUUUUAAACUUCAGCUUUUGCUAUAAUAUUAUUUAAGCCUAGACAGGAAAUUCAGGGUUCCAAUAACUCAAUGCUCUCUCUUUCCUGGGCUUCAGUGUCCACACCUACAUGAUGCACAUAUACUGUAGUCUCCCAUGAGAUAUUUUGACAUAUGUUUAUACAGGAUCCUCUGAAAUUCCUUGCACAUUUUUAAAUCUUAACAAUUUGCCUAGAAACACUUUACAAAUUGCAUUAAGUAUUUCAAGGCUUAGAAAACACUAUUGCACAAAAUGCCUUUGUAUUUAAGAUCUCAUGAUAAAGUCCAUGUAUU
rnacentral:misc_RNA from 1 species